CGAGGAGGAGGACGAGGAAGACGAGGAUUUGUGCUCGCUCAGCGAAACUCUAAUAGCUGAGUUGGCAUUGAGAGACGAGUAGACAUCACCACGUGACAAAAAAGAGAAACCAAAUACAAAAUAGUAACAGCCCUUUGCCGCAGCAUAGAUCCAUACAAGAUUCCAAGUAUUUGACAACAGUGAUACCUUAUCACGUGGAUAGUGGCCCACCUGAUGAUCAAGCUUUACAAGUCCUCAUUAAGAUAUUAAAGGCUAUUGAUGAGGAUAGUCCAACGGUUCCCACAUUAUUAACGGACUACAUAUUGAAAGGUGGGUUGAUUUCUUUCACCUUGUCUUGAAUCCGUGCGAGAUAAACACUUGUAUAUUUCACGGUCCCGUUAUUAUCAUGAGGUUGAAGUUCGUAAUGUUAUUCAGGCGAUGAAUUUUUAGAAAAACUUGGAAUACAACUUCAGGAUUGUCUGAAAAUAAGUAAACCGUAAUAAACCAAAUUGUAAUCAUAUCAAGUUAUCAGUAACAAGCAA